UGGGGAAUUUUGGACAAUGGGCGAAAGCCUGAUCCAGCAAUGCCGCGUGUGUGAAGAAGGCCUUCGGGUUGUAAAGCACUUUUGUCCGGAAAGAAAUCCUUGGCUCUAAUACAGUCGGGGGAUGACGGUACCGGAAGAAUAAGCACCGGCUAACUACGUGCCAGCAGCCGCGGUAAUACGUAGGGUGCAAGCGUUAAUCGGAAUUACUGGGCGUAAAGCGUGCGCAGGCGGUUUGCUAAGACCGAUGUGAAAUCCCCGGGCUCAACCUGGGAACUGCAUUGGUGACUGGCAGGCUAGAGUAUGGCAGAGGGGGGUAGAAUUCCACGUGUAGCAGUGAAAUGCGUAGAGAUGUGGAGGAAUACCGAUGGCGAAGGCAGCCCCCUGGGCCAAUACUGACGCUCAUGCACGAAAGCGUGGGGAGCAAACAGGAUUAGAUACCCUGGGUAGUCCACGCCCUAAACGAUGUCAACUAGUUGUUGGGGAUUCAUUUCCUAGUAACGUAGCUAACGCGUGAAGUUGACCGCCUGGGGAGUACGGUCGCAAGAUUAAAACUU
rnacentral:rRNA from 1 species